UCGGAUAUGGUGUAAUGGCUAACAUUAUCGCCUCUCAUUCAGCGUGCGCGAUAGCUCGGGGUUCGAUUCCCCGUAUCCGAA